GGGGUUGUGGCUCAGUGGUAGAGUGCUUGCCUCACAUGCAUGAGGCCCUGGGUUCUAUCCUCAAAACCACA
rnacentral:tRNA from 1 species